AUAUUUCGGAACUGAGUCUAGUUCCUUCGAUAUCAGUAUAAUCUAAUAUUUAUGAAACCUGCUGUGUUGGUGUAAUGUACCUGAGUACAUUACACCAACACAGCAGAUUUCAUAAAUAUUAGAUUAUACUGAUAUCGAAGGAACUAGACUCAGUUCCGAAAUAU
rnacentral:miRNA from 1 species